rnacentral:tmRNA from 1 species
GGGGCUGACCGGUUUUGACAGCGUGUAGAGGUGGUGUGUAAGCAUGCAGAGCCAUGAUGGAUGGUGCUCUUAAAUCUCCGACAUCAACUUUUUUAAAUGGCGAAAACAACUACGCUCUUGCUGCCUAAUCGAAGCACAGUAGAUUACGCUUAAUCGCCGCAACAGUUGCAGCGACAAGACAUCGCCCGAUUGCCAAUCUUUCCGAGGCUAAUCGAUCAGGCGGUGCAGGUAAAUCGGAAAUAGGACUCUGAAUGUCUCGUGACGAGUCCGAAACUUUUAGAGACUAAGUCGCCGGUUGGUUGCUUUUGGCCUGCCGACGAACGAAAACCAAGUAAAAGCUAAGCAUGUAGAAAGCACAUUAGUUCCACGUUUGGACGAGGGUUCGAAUCCCUCCAACUCCACUA